AGAUUUCACUCACUGUCAUCUUUGUGGCCUCCUCUGGGUCUGCUCUACAGAUCCAUGUCAUUCUUGUGCUGAGGACUCCAGAUCUGGAUGCAGCAUUGCAGCUUUUCAUCCACAAGAAUUACCGAGUCCUUCUCUGCAAGGCUGCUCUCAAUGACUUCUUGUCUCAACAUCUGCUCACAUCUCUCCUUGCGUGACCCAGGUGCAGCACCUUGAACUUGGAUUUCUUGAACUUCAUGAGGUACUUGUAGGGCCCUGUAUCAAAUUUAUCCAGGAUCCUGGAUGGAAUAAUGUCCCUCUGUUUUGUCAACUGCAGCACUGAGCUUCAUGUAAUCUGCAUAUGUGCUGAGGUCUCACUGUCUAUGUCAGUGAUGAAGACACCGAAGAGCAGUGGACCCAAGACAGAGCCCUGAGGGAUGCUACACAUCACUGGCCUCCCCUCAGACAGAACCAUUGACCUCAACUUUGUCUCUGUCCAGAGAAUGUUUAGGAUGAAAUGAUCUUGUUUGAUUGAGUUAUUGAAGUGUACUAGCUACACACAAACAGCCAUUUUGAGCUCUUAAAUGUGUUUCAAGCUGUGUUUGGGGAUUUAUUUUUUAAUGUAACAGCUUUUAUAUGGGGGUUAAGGUAUAAAGUAAAUUUUGCAUGUUUACGUAACAGUGACAGAAAAAAAGUAAGAACUUUCAUAAUUUCUAAAGUGUUAUGACACCUGUAGUAUGCUUAGUACUUUCUGUAGAAACUGGGACCCUGAAAAGAACAAUUUUUAGUCCGUGGAUCCAGAUACAGUUCAUACCAAAUGGCUUGUUGUACCUGGGGAUUAAAUUUAAGACUUGCUCUGCU